GAUGAACGCUGGCGGCGUGCCUAAUACAUGCCAGUCGAGCGAACGGACGAGAAGCUUGCUUCUCUGAUGUUAGCGGCGGACGGGUGGGUAACACGUGGAUAACCUACCUAUAAGACUGGGAUAACUUCGGGAAACCGGAGCUAAUACCGGAUAAUAUUUUGAACCGCAUGGUUCAAAAGUGAAAGACGGUCUUGCUGUCACUUAUAGAUUGAUCCGCGCUGCAUUAGCUAGUUGGUAAGGUAACGGCUUACCAAGGCAACGAUGCAUAGCCGACCUGAGAGGGUGAUCGGCCACACUGGAACUGAGACACGGUCCAGACUCCUACGGGAGGCAGCAGUAGGGAAUCUUCCGCAAUGGGCGAAAGCCUGACGGAGCAACGCCGCGUGAGUGAUGAAGGUCUUCGGAUCGUAAAACUCUGUUAUUAGGGAAGAACAUAUGUGUAAGUAACUGUGCACAUCUUGACGGUACCUAAUCAGAAAGCCACGGCUAACUACGUG
rnacentral:rRNA from 1 species